CCUACGGGAGGCAGCAGUGAGGGAUAUUGGUCAAUGGGGGAAACCCUGAACCAGCAACGCCGCGUGAGGGAAGACGGUUUUCGGAUUGUAAACCUCUGUCCUCUGUGAAGAUAAUGACGGUACCUGCAAAGGAAGCACCGGCUAACUCCGUGCCAGCAGCCGCGGUAAUACGGAGGGUGCGAGCGUUAAUCGGAAUUACUGGGCGUAAAGCGCUCGUAGGCGGUAUGUCAAGUCAAGGGUGAAAUCCCCGCGCUCAACGUGGGAACUGCCUUUGAAACUGGCAAACUGGAGUGUGUGAGAGGAUAGUGGAAUUCCAGGUGUAGGAGUGAAAUCCGUAGAUAUCUGGAGGAACAUCAGUGGCGAAGGCGACUAUCUGGCACAUAACUGACGCUGAGGAGCGAAAGCGUGGGUAGCAAACAGGAUUAGAUACCCGUGUAGUC
rnacentral:rRNA from 1 species